UUAACACUCCUGGGUUCUGGGGUUUUACGUUAUAGUAAAUACCUCCCCCUUCACGGAAGCCUUGAAUUAAGUCCACGUUCAUCGUGGGCAACACCAGUCUGUUGCUAGAAACCCUUGUCUAAGGUUAUUAGCAGUCGUUUUAACGAUUCACAGAUCAAGUACUGGUGGUUCAUUUCAAACAAGAAUGAAUUAUAAUAUGACCGGUACUCUUCUUAGCUGAAGAGAGCUUAACGUUCCGUAGGUGAACCUGCGGAAGGAUCAUUAAAGAGUAAGGGUCUCCUGGCCCGAUCUCCAACCCUGUGUUUAACUACCAUGUGGCUUUGGCGGGCCCGUCUCACGACCGCCUGAAGUUUGGCUUGGACCAAACUUCUGGCCCGUGCCCGUCAGUGGCCCCUUCAAAAUCUUGAUCAAGUAUGAUGUCUUAGUUAACAACGUAAUAGUUAAACUUUUCAACAAGGGAUCUCUUGGUGCUGGUAUCGAUGAAGAAG
rnacentral:misc_RNA from 1 species